CCCUAGCCCCGAUAGAAGUGGAAAUCCUUUUGUGCCGGGGUUCGGCACAAAAGAUUGUAGCGGAUAGCGGGAAAUAGC
rnacentral:sRNA from 1 species